rnacentral:sRNA from 1 species
GGAGUAGUAAGCGUUGGUCUCGCGCACUUGUUGUGUGCGCCUGUGUUUGUUUUUGUCUUGGAGGUGCACCAAACAAACAAUUAUCAAUCAGUCUGUUUAGAAACAACGAUCGAUCAACAACGUGUCUGACGGAAGUGUGGCCAAGAAAACGAAGGCACAUUACAAAACGGUGGUGAAUGGAAAUGUAAAGCCGUGCAGUUUGCAGUGCGAGCUUUUCAAUUUUUAUAUUUUUUACAUUAUUCUAAACAUCUCUGCGGAGGUGAGGUGAUAAUAGUGAAACAAAUUUCGCAAUGAUAAGGAAAGAUUUUUAAACAAAAAAAUAUUAAACGAAUUUCCAUUUAAACGUUAUAAAAAUAAUUGCCAUUCAUGGAUUUCCUUUUAAUUACACAAAUAAAAAAUUUAUAAAUAGUGCAACAAGAGUAUCCAUUCAUGAAAUCAAUAUUGAAUUAAAGUGUGCAACAUAACUGUGAAUUGUAUAAUUGUAAGAAACAUCAUCUUGUGAGAGCAAAAGAGAAUAAUAAGAGAUAUCUGCUCCAAAGUGCAUCGGAAUCGUAAGAAAUGUGGAAAAAACGUGCGCGUGUCUAAUAAUCGCUGUUAUCAUCUUCAAAUCAUCAACCCAAUAAAAACAACAUCAACAAAAACGAGAAGACAAACUUUAUAAUCCCCCGCUUAAGCCGCUGAAUUGAUGUAACACAGAGUCAAAUAUCAAAAUAUUGAAUCUGUUUUUUAAAUGUAAACAAGGUAAUCCAGCUCAAAUGAGGAAAAACUGCAAUGGCAUAACUGUUACACACCAGCCGCCAGCAUGUUGUUGUAUUUGUUGUACAAUAUGUGUUUUUUUUUUUCUUACUGAACCAUGAAUGAGUAUCAACAGCAACAGCAACAACAACAACGUGAAGGAAAAGCCCCCUGCCAUCAUUAAAGAAGUGUGGUGAGCCUUAAAGAAGUACUAAUCCAAAUCCUAGCAACAACUCCUAUAACUUACAUAUGCAAUAAUCCGGCUAUCGCGAAAGAAAGAAAAAACUUGCCACAGUGUCAGCUAAGCCCGCGCAUACCACAGGCCACCGCCACCACCACCGUCAACAUUCGUCUAUGGUUUUUGCCAAAAAAAACUACAACUACUACAACAGCAGUAACAACAAAUAUAUAUUACAUUGCAUAUAUCGUUCGUAUCUAUAGCGUCGCGUGUUUUAUGCCUUUGCCGUUUGGAAAUAUUUUAUUCGGUUGUACCUCCGUCGUCGUCGUCGCGGCAGUCUUCGGCACUGCACUGCUGUAGUAACAGCAACAAAGUUUCGCAGUAGUUCGAAUAUCUGUAACAUUAGCUUGGCGAACGAAAAGCAAUUGGCUUCAUUUCUGUUUUCAAGUUAAUUUUAAUUUCAUUAUUUAGAGUGUCGUAUGUUUGUAUGUACGUGUGUGUCUGAUUGCCUUAAGUUCUCCUAACAUUACUUACUCCACUCUACAACUUGCUGCUACUUACUCCUCCCUUGUCGUUGCCUUCAUUGUACCAGUCAUUCGCUUGGUGUACUACAUAUAAAUUGCAAAAUUUACCAACAACACCAACAACAACAAUCAUCAGAUUGAAUGUGAAUUUCAGUUUCUUAGUGAACAUGCCCUGCUGCUGCUGCUGCAUAGCUUAAGCAAAG